ensembl:misc_RNA Metazoa_SRP Metazoan signal recognition particle RNA
GCUGGGCGUGGUGGCUCAUGCCUGUAAUCCGAGCACUGGGAGGCUGAGGUGGGUGGAUCACUUGAGGUCAGGAGUUCAAGACCAGCCUGGCCAACAUGGCGAAACCCCAUCUCUA